rnacentral:rRNA from 1 species
AUUGAACGCUGGCGGCAGGCCUAACCCAUGCAAGUCGAGCGGAGCGGCGGACGGGCGCGUAAUGCCUAGGAAUCUGCCUGGUAGUGGGGGAUAACGUCCGGAAACGGGCGCUAAUACCGCAUAAUAGCAGAUAAACCUAGUUCGGAUUAGAUAGUUGGUGGGGUAAAGGCCUACAAAGGCGAUGAUCCGUAACUGGUCGGAGAGGAUCAUGAGUCAAACUGGAACUGAGACACGGUGCAGACUCCUACGGGAGGCAGCAUUGGGGAAUAUUGGACAAUGGGCGAAAGCCUGAUCCAGCCAUGCCGCGUGUGUGAAGAAGGUCUUCGGAUUGUAAAGCACUUUAAGUUGGGAGGCGUUACCAACAGAGUAAGCACCGGCUAAGUUCGUGCCAGCAGCCGCGGUAAUUC